GGAUGAAGAACACUCAACUGUCUGUUUGUGGCAAUUACGAAUGGCUCUAUUACAGCAUGGGUGUUUAACCAAUGGCUAAUGAGCUGAUGGUAUCCAGAAUCAUUUACAGCAACAUAAGCUUUGGCCAGCUGCCACACUGAGCCCUCAACACCAUCUUCCGUUGGAGUGAAAACUUUGCUGACAGCACCACGGCAUUCACCUUGUGGAUGUGGUAGACUUAAUUCGAUAGCCAAUGGCUUCAAUGUCCCAUCAUUUUGCAGUAACAGGAUUGUUCUUGUA
rnacentral:misc_RNA from 1 species